AUAAUCCUGUCAAAACCUUCUGAGAAAUCAGACAAAAGAUUUAAAAAAAUGCCAGAAAAGGAAUUUAUAAAACAAAUGGUGUAGUUUGACUUGAAAUUGAUCACGCCACGUACUUGGCAUUGCCGUAAAAAAAGUUUUGUAUACAAAACUUUGUGAGGAAGGUCUAAAGUAAACAAAUCAACUGACCACUCAACAAAGCAAAGACCAAGUCAGUCAGGAGUCACAGAGAGUUAGAGAAGACCUUCAUCAAAAACUUCAAAGGCUGGUCAGAAAGAAAGCUCAAAACAAUGGCCGAUUCAAAAGUAGAGACGAUCUCAAGACUUGCCCAAUGGAGAGUCGAGAAUUUCGGGCCUUGCUCUUACAAAAGGUCCGAUCCUUUCAAGCUCGGAAUUUGGAAUUGGCAUUUUUCUAUAGAGAAGAAUCGGUACCUCUAUAUUCGUUUGUUUCCAGAGCCAUCUCGUGUGUCCAAAGAACAGCCUCCUCUUGCUCGCUUUGUUCUUAGAGUCUCCAGUUCCGGCCCUGGCCGCAGACCCUACAUCUCUCCUG